AUUCGGAAGGAAGAAGAGAGGAAGAAGGACAAGUGCACGGAGCGUUAUUUCUCGAUAUCGACGAAGCCCUGUCGACGAAAAGUCGAUUUCUUGUUUCCAUUGCGAAAUGAACGGAGACGAUGCGACGUCUUCGCGGAAAAUCUUAGGUGCGUUGAUAUUCCUAGGCAGACGAUUACAUAUUGAUGUUACACCGAUACGGAACGAAUAAUGGAACGACUAAAAAGCUAAUGGACCAUUGAGAACGCCAUAUCGGAAUAAGAUAUGCUUCCAGAUAAGAGCCAAGUAUUUACCUACCUCUUGCGCGGUAAUGUAAAUAGGUUUGUUAAGGAUCAGCCAAACUGCAGUUUCCCAACAUCCUGGAUGCGUUGUACUGCCUUCGUAGGUCAUGUAACCAUUCGUAUCCGGAAGUAGACUUCUCAAGGACAGAUAGCUCACCUGUGCCGUAUCGCCUAAGUAAAGAAAAAACAAUGUUCACAUCGCUCCAUUAGUAAAACAAUUUUAAUCCUUUUAAAAAUCACGCUAUUCUUUUUUUAAUCGUUCGAAAUAUUAUUCUUUUAAUUUUUUCUUUUUUUUCCUUUCUCAAAAUCCCUAGGUACGAUCUUGUCCAAGGAAAAGUUCUAAGGAUCGGACACAAUCAGGACUCGUAAUCGUUAGCACGUGACAAAUUCGUUCGCCGAUCACGUAGCUCGAUGACUAAUCGAUAUUUUUUGUCUCUCAAGAAUUUUUCCAUCCUUUUCUCUCGACAUCGUCGGAAGCUAUAAAAAUUGGUAAGACGAGAAGAAGAAGGAGGAGGGAAAGGAAAAGGAAGAGAAGGAGGAAAAGGUACAGGAAGAGAUGAUACGCGAAGGAGGAGGGAUCUAGUCAGCGUUGUGGGACCCUUCUUCUCCUUACGGGUCCAGCUGAUAAACAAUCUCUUAGAGAACGUCAAAUCCGUGAAUCGGUUUUGCUUGAAGUAACGGAAUUCCCAAUGGACCGAUUUAUCUUCUAGGAAAAGAGCCGUUCGUGUGGCUCGAAGGACGAUCCUUACCUACUCUUUUUCGUCCUUCCUUGCGACUUUACUUUCAUGGGGUAUUCCGUGUCAGCGAACGUUCCGGAUUAUCACUGAUUUCUUCUCGAUUAUACGAGAAAAACCAAACAAUCUCAGAGUCGGUCGGAUCGUGUGAGAUCGAAAGGAUCGUCGAUGAACCAUUUGUGAGAUAUUACGAAGAUAUUACGUAGCAGGAUGAUUUACGAGCCGAAUUUACGAACGAUAAAGAAACAACGAUCUUCUUAAUCCAGGAGCACUUAAUUACAGCGAAGGUGUGAGCGAGGUAGCACAACUAAUAAGCAACAUGCCAGCCACGUCGUGACACCGAUCGUCGUAACAUGCCCGUGACGGCACGCGACGAACUAUAGUAGCACCUGCUCGACUCAAGAAAGAAGAAACGCGAUAAAACUUUCCGACUUUCGAGUUACCAUUUCCUUCAUUACGAUACAAAUGCACGAGAUAGAGAGAGAGAGAGAG